rnacentral:rRNA from 1 species
ACCUACGGGGGGCAGCAGUGAGGAAUAUUGGUCAAUGGGCGCGAGCCUGAACCAGCCAAGUCGCGUGAGGGAUGACGGCCCUACGGGUUGUAAACCUCUUUUGUCGGGGAGCAAAUUCCGCCACGCGUGGCGGAGUCGAGAGUACCCGAAGAAAAAGCAUCGGCUAACUCCGUGCCAGCAGCCGCGGUAAUACGGAGGAUGCGAGCGUUAUCCGGAUUUACUGGGUGUAAAGGGGGCGCAGACGGCAGCGCAAGCCAGGAGUGAAAGCCCGGGGCCCAACCCCGGGACUGCUCUUGGAACUGCGC